ACGUCGACUGCACCGUGACAGCAGCUCGCGAACAGCAGCAACGGUGCCGGCGUCGAGUGCGAACAGCUCCGUGACCGGCGGACAGCAGCUCGCGUUGAUAAAUCAGCGGCCAAGACGAGCAGCGACGGUGCUGUGAUGGAGACGGUGAGGAGAAAGGCCGGGGCAGCGGCGUGAACCAGCAAAGUGACGAUCUCGCCUCUGUGAUUACCACGACAAUGGUGCUGCAAAUUAAGUGAAGAAGAGAGAUUAGGAAUUUCACUCCUAUUUUGGCUUUUCACGUGAGGAAAUGGAUUACAUUAAAUCAAAGGGUGACUCUAUGCACGCUCCUCGAUAACGGAAUGGAACACAAGUUAAGGCUUUAAACGAAUGAGGUUGAGCGUGGA